UACGGGGGGAGCAAGCGUUGUUCGGAUUUACUGGGCGUAAAGGGCGCGUAGGCGGCGCAACAAGUCACUUGUGAAAUCUCCGGGCUUAACCCGGAGCGGCCAAGUGAUACUGUCGUGCUAGAGUGCGGAAGGGGCUACUGGAAUUCUCGGUGUAGCGGUGAAAUGCGUAGAUAUCGGGAGGAACACCGGUGGCGAAGGCGGUUCUCUGGGCCUUACCUGACGCUGAGGAGCGAAAGCGUGGGGAGCGAACAGG
rnacentral:rRNA from 1 species